UUGUCAGUGAGGUUAAUCCUUACCUGUUCUUCCUCUGGGAGAAACAGCACAUGAUGAAUGGAGGAGGCUGAGUCGCUGAUUACUCUGUACUCCGGCCCUGCCUGGUGCGGCAACACUUCCCAGCCAGAGCCAUUCUGAU
rnacentral:snoRNA from 1 species